GAUGAAGAACGCAGCGAAAUGCGAUAAGUAGUGUGAAUUGCAGAAUUCAGUGAAUCAUCGAAUCUUUGAACGCACAUUGCGCCUCCUGGUAUUCCGGGAGGCAUGCCUGUUCGAGCGUCAUUAAAAUCACUCAAGCUUAGGUUUACCUAUUGCUUGGUCUUGGAGAUGGAAGCCAAUUCAUUGGAAUCCUCUUCGAAAUCCAAUGGCGAAGACCCUUGCUCUCCCAAGUGUAGUAAUAACUUAUGUCACUGAAGGAAGCGAGAAAUCUUCCGCCGUAACCCCCAUAUUUUCUAUGAUUGACCUCGGAUCAAGUAGGGAUACCCGCUGAACUUAAGCAUAUCAAUAAGCGGAGGA
rnacentral:misc_RNA from 1 species